rnacentral:misc_RNA from 1 species
GAUGAAGAACGUAGCGAAAUGCGAUAAGUAAUGUGAAUUGCAGAAUUCAGUGAAUCAUCGAAUCUUUGAACGCACCUUGCGCUCUUUGGUAUUCCGAAGAGCAUGCCUGUUUGAGUGUCAUGAAAAUAUCAACCUUGACUUGGGUUUUGUGCUCUAGUCUCGGCUUGGAAUUGGGUGCUUGCCGCUUUUACGAGCGGCUCACCUUAAAUGUAUUAGCUGGAUCUGUCUUUGAGACUUGGUUUGACUUGGCGUAAUAAGUAUUUCGCUAAGGACAUUCUUCGGAGUGGCCUCGUUUCUAGGACGCUCGUCCGCUUUCCAAUACAAGUUCCACCUCGUGGACAUGACUUUUUAUUAUCUGGCCUCAAAUCAGGUAGGACUACCCGCUGAACUUAAGCAUAUCAAUAAGCGGAGGA